rnacentral:lncRNA from 1 species
AGAUAGCCUAAUAUGGUACAAAAGGAGCAUCUUCUAGAUGGCAAGUUUGAUCAAACAAACAGCAAACUAAAAGAGGCUUGAAGGGCAACACUAUCUACAGUACUGGUGGUGAAAUCAAAGAUAUCACAAAUGCCAAGUUUCAUAGUAGUGAUUCAGGUACCAGCUAUCAUUCACAGACUUGAGAUGAACAUGUGCUGAGCUUAAUCAAAGAAACGGUGCUACUCUGAAGCCAGUGUUGGAUCAUUUCACGCAGGGUCUAACCGUGGUCUUUGAUUCAGGUACCUGCUUCAGCUGCUGGUACAAUCAAGCAAGGCCAGCCAGCCUCUGCUUGACCAAAGCCAUCUUCUGCUCCAUCUUGACAGACCUGGAGCCUGGUGUCCUCCCCCUCUUCCUCUGCACAGCAGCCCACCAAAGCAGAUGAUAUCAGGCUCCUGCAUUAGCUUGCUUUAAAAUACAGGAAUUUCUCUAAAAUUCCUGUAUUUUUAAAGGAGUCCUGAACAAAUAUUUGAUAAAAAGGGGAAGAAAGACAGAAAACAGCAGUAACUUGCUUUGAGUGCAGAGGAAUUAACAAAAUCAACGGGGGAAGAAAGUAACUUGCUUUGAGUGGCGGAUCAGUGAUCAGUCGCCGUUGCCUCGUUUGCUUAAACGAAAGAAACGUUUGAAUCAUGAUCUAGCGAUACCACUG